AUGAACGCUAGCUACAGGCUUAACACAUGCAAGUCGAGGGGCAGCAUGGUCUUAGCUUGCUAAGGCCGAUGGCGACCGGCGCACGGGUGAGUAACACGUAUCCAACCUGCCGUCUACUCUUGGACAGCCUUCUGAAAGGAAGAUUAAUACAAGAUGGCAUCAUGAGUCCGCAUGUUCACAUGAUUAAAGGUAUUCCGGUAGACGAUGGGGAUGCGUUCCAUUAGAUAGUAGGCGGGGUAACGGCCCACCUAGUCUUCGAUGGAUAGGGGUUCUGAGAGGAAGGUCCCCCACAUUGGAACUGAGACACGGUCCAAACUCCUACGGGAGGCAGCAGUGUGGAAUAUUGGUCAAUGGGCGAGAGCCUGAACCAGCCAAGUAGCGUGAAGGAUGACUGCCCUAUGGGUUGUAAACUUCUUUUAUAAAGGAAUAAAGUCGGGUAUGGAUACCCGUUUGCAUGUACUUUAUGAAUAAGGAUCGGCUAACUCCGUGCCAGCAGCCGCGGUAAUACGGAGGAUCCGAGCGUUAUCCGGAUUUAUUGGGUUUAAAGGGAGCGUAGAUGGAUGUUUAAGUCAGUUGUGAAAGUUUGCGGCUCAACCGUAAAAUUGCAGUUGAUACUGGAUAUCUUGAGUGCAGUUGAGGCAGGCGGAAUUCGUGGUGUAGCGGUGAAAUGCUUAGAUAUCACGAAGAACUCCGAUUGCGAAGGCAGCCUGCUAAGCUGCAACUGACAUUGAGGCUCGAAAGUGUGGGUAUCAAACAGGAUUAGAUACCCUGGUAGUCCACGCAGUAAACGAUGAAUACUAACUGUUUGCGAUACAAUGUAAGCGGUACAGCGAAAGCGUUAAGUAUUCCACCUGGGGAGUACGCCGGCAACGGUGAAACUCAAAGGAAUUGACGGGGGCCCGCACAAGCGGAGGAACAUGUGGUUUAAUUCGAUGAUACGCGAGGAACCUUACCCGGGCUUAAAUUGCAGAUGAAUUACGGUGAAAGCCGUAAGCCGCAAGGCAUCUGUGAAGGUGCUGCAUGGUUGUCGUCAGCUCGUGCCGUGAGGUGUCGGCUUAAGUGCCAUAACGAGCGCAACCCUUGUUGUCAGUUACUAACAGGUUCCGCUGAGGACUCUGACAAGACUGCCAUCGUAAGAUGUGAGGAAGGUGGGGAUGACGUCAAAUCAGCACGGCCCUUACGUCCGGGGCUACACACGUGUUACAAUGGGGGGUACAGAGGGCCGCUACCACGCGAGUGGAUGCCAAUCCCAAAAACCUCUCUCAGUUCGGACUGGAGUCUGCAACCCGACUCCACGAAGCUGGAUUCGCUAGUAAUCGCGCAUCAGCCACGGCGCGGUGAAUACGUUCCCGGGCCUUGUACACACCGCCCGUCAAGCCAUGGGAGCCGGGGGUACCUGAAGUGCGUAACCGCGAGGAGCGCCCUAGGGUAAAACUGGUGACUGGGGCU
rnacentral:rRNA from 1 species